AAGAAACAUCUCUGCGCCUGCUGAAGAGGGCAAUGAUCUUGAACUCAUUGGACCCUUUGAACAGGUGUAUAUGGAGAUAAGCUGCCCGGAUGGUGGAGAUGGAGGAAGGAAAACCUUAUUCCCUGCCACACAUCGAGAAAUUCAUCCAACUAAUAUUUUGAGUGUUGUUGGCAAUCUUACACCUUGGUCUGAUCAUAAUCAGAGUCCACGUAAUAUGUAUCAAUGUCAGAUGGGUAAACAAACAAUGGGUUUCUCCUCACAAGCAUUAAAUUGUCGUGCUGAUCAAAAGUUAUAUCACCUUCAGACUCCUCAAACCCCAAUUGUACGCACAAAAGCUUAUGAGAAGUAUUGUGUUGAUGACUAUCCAUUAGGAACAAAUGCAAUUGUGGCAGUUUUGGCUUAUUCAGGAUAUGACAUGGAAGACGCUAUGGUCUUAAAUAAAUCAUCUGUAGAUCGUGGUAUGUGUCAUGGGCAUAUAUACCAGACAGAAACCAUUGACUUGACUGAGCAAAGCGCCAAAUCUGAUCGUGCUCAGAGAUUGUUUAGAAGAAGCAAUUUGGAUAAGUCGUCUCAUCAGCUGAUUGAUUCUGAUGGUCUUCCAUACGUGGGACAGAGGAUUAAUCCAAAUGAGCCAUAUUGUAGUAUUUACAAUGAAAUAACCAGUCAGACAACUUGUAUGAAGUUGAAGGGUUCGGAGCCUGUUGUUGUUGAUUAUGUUGCUGUCGAUGUGAAAAAUAAAGCACAUCUGCAGAAGGCGAAUAUACGUUUUAGGCGCUCCAGGAAUCCUGUAAUUGGUGAUAAAUUUAGCAGCCGACAUGGGCAAAAGGGUGUUUGCUCUCAAUUAUGGCCUGAUGUUGAUAUGCCCUUCUCAGCAGUUACAGGCAUGAGGCCAGAUCUUAUUAUUAAUCCUCAUGCUUUCCCUUCAAGGAUGACAAUUGCUAUGCUGUUGGAGUCGAUUGCUGCUAAGGGGGGUGCUUUACAUGGGAAGUUUGUUGAUGCAACGCCGUUCUCUAACACAAUGAAGGAAUCAGAAUCGGAAUCCAGUUCACUUGUGGAUGACCUUGGUUCCAUGUUAGCGGUUUGUGGCUUCAAUCACCAUGGUACGGAAGUACUAUAUAGUGGAGUAUAUGGGACAGAACUGACUUGUCGAAUAUUUAUUGGACCUGUUUAUUAUCAGCGUCUGCGACACAUGGUUUCUGAUAAAUUUCAGGUCCGUUCUACUGGACAGGUAGACCAUAUCACUCGGCAGCCUAUCAAGGGGAGAAAGCGUGGUGGAGGUGUCCGCUUUGGUGAAAUGGAACGAGAUUCACUCCUUGCUCAUGGAGCAUCAUAUUUGCUGCAUGAUAGACUCCAUACAAGCUCAGAUCAUCACAUUGCAGAUGUGUGCUCUGAAUGUGGAAGUGUCCUAACAU
rnacentral:misc_RNA from 1 species